rnacentral:rRNA from 1 species
UACGUAGGGGGGCUAGCGUUGUCCGGAUUUAUUGGGCGUAAAGAGCGUGUAGGCGGCCAGGUAGGUCUGCUGUGAAAACUCGAGGCUCAACCUCGAGACGUCGGCGGAAACCAUCUGGCGUAGAGUCCGGAAGAGGAGAGUGGAAUUCCUGGUGUAGCGGUGAAAUGCGUAGAUAUCGUAAGGAAGACCAGUGGCGAAGGCGGGUCUCUGGACAGUUCCUGACGCUGAGGCACGAAGGUCAGGGGAGCAAACGGG